rnacentral:misc_RNA from 1 species
AUGAUUUCCAGCAGGACCUGUAGAUUGUGCCUGUGGAACCCAAACCUGGUAGCCAUUAUGAAUCCAAAUUCGAAUUGCAACAGAGAGACAUGCCACCAUGAGUGGGACAGUGAGGGACAACCCCAGGAGCACUGAUGAUUUGCUGCAGAAUAAUUACGUAUAUUAAUGGAUAUCAAAGUUCAGCAUUGCAUUUCCACAUAAUUAGCAAGAGACAGAGUAAGUGUUGGAAACUAAAUUAUGUGUAUCUAGAAAUAUGGAUAAUUAGUAUGCGUGAAAUAAGUUGAUACAAUAAGUUUUCAAAUAAAUUGACAUAAUAAUUAUUCAAGUUAUAGUUUUCAAUAAAUACUUAAGUUCUGUUAACAUGAUGAUUAUCUCAUCAAAUAGUUGAUAUAACAAGUUUUCCAUAAGUUUUUCCCAGAUUCAUCUCACCAGCCAAAUUUCACUCUCAGUAACCACCUACUACCCACAAUCUCAACAAGGUCUUGUGGAAUUAAGAGAAAGAAAUGGUAAACCGAAAUUGUCAGAGAAAAAUUAGGGAAGGCUAUGGCCAAGAUUUCUGAAGAAUUAGAAGAAAUACAAAGAAUUGUAUGAGAAAAUUAGCUUGAUUAUUCUCUCAA